rnacentral:rRNA from 1 species
CGCUGCGGGAUGCUUUCACCNGCAAGUCGAACGGCAGCGCGAGAGAGCUUGCUCUCUUGGCGGCGAGUGGCGGACGGGUGAGUAAUAUAUCGGAACGUGCCCAGUAGCGGGGGAUAACUACUCGAAAGAGUGGCUAAUACCGCAUACGCCCUACGGGGGAAAGGGGGGGAUCGCAAGACCUCUCACUAUUGGAGCGGCCGAUAUCGGAUUAGCUAGUUGGUGGGGUAAAGGCUCACCAAGGCAACGAUCCGUAGCUGGUUUGAGAGGACGACCAGCCACACUGGGACUGAGACACGGCCCAGACUCCUACGGGAGGCAGCAGUGGGGAAUUUUGGACAAUGGGGGAAACCCUGAUCCAGCCAUCCCGCGUGUAUGAUGAAGGCCUUCGGGUUGUAAAGUACUUUUGGCAGAGAAGAAAAGGUAUCCCCUAAUACGGGAUACUGCUGACGGUAUCUGCAGAAUAAGCACCGGCUAACUACGUGCCAGCAGCCGCGGUAAUACGUAGGGUGCAAGCGUUAAUCGGAAUUACUGGGCGUAAAGCGUGUGUAGGCGGUUCGGAAAGAAAGAUGUGAAAUCCCAGGGCUCAACCUUGGAACUGCAUUUUUAACUGCCGAGCUAGAGUAUGUCAGAGGGGGGUAGAAUUCCACGUGUAGCAGUGAAAUGCGUAGAUAUGUGGAGGAAUACCGAUGGCGAAGGCAGCCCCCUGGGGAUAAUACUGACGCUCAGACACGAAAGCGGGGGGGAGCAAAA